rnacentral:rRNA from 1 species
CCUACGGGAGGCAGCAGUGGGGAAUAUUGGGCAAUGGGCGCAAGCCUGACCCAGCAACGCCGCGUGAAGGAAGAAGGCUUUCGGGUUGUAAACUUCUGUUGUCAGGGACGAAGCAAGUGACGGUACCUGAGGAAUAAGCCACGGCUAACUACGUGCAAGCCGCCGCGGUAAUACGUAGGUGGCAAGCGUUAUCCGGAUUGACUGGGUGUAAAGGGCGUGUAGGCGGGGCUGAAAGUCAGAGGUGAAAACCACGGGCUCAACCUGUGGCCUGCAUUGGAACGUGGGGUUCUUGAGUACUGGAGAGGCGGACGGAAUUCCUAGUGUAGCGGUGAAAUGCGUAGAUAUUAGGAGGAACACCAGUGGCGAAGGCGGUCUGCUGGACAGCAACUGACGCUGAGGCGCGAAAGCGUGGGGAGCAAACAGGAUUAGAUACCCCGGUAGUC